rnacentral:rRNA from 1 species
GGGUCAGUAGGUUGGUCGUGCCACCGGUACGUACUGGUCUCACUGAUUCCUCCUUCCUGAAGAACCGUAAUGCCAUUAAUUUGGUGUUGCGGGGAAACAGGACUGUUACUUUGAAAAAAUUAGAGUGUUUAAAGCAAGCUAACGCUUGAAUACAUUAGCAUAGAAUAAUGAAAUAGGACGAUCGAUCCUAUUUUGUUGGCUUCUAGGAUUGACGUA